GUACAUGCCAGUUAUAGUUUGGGGGAAAAAAGGCCUCUUUAAAGACCUCUGAGUGACCAGGAGCCACCAGUGGAGGGAGUCCGGUCCGGUGGCCAUGGAUGAAGUACUGGCUGUCCAGAGUCGGAACCCUGGAUGUGUACGUGUGUGUGUGUGUGUGUGUGUGUGUGUGUGUGUGUGUGUGUGUGUGUCUGUGUGUGCGUGUGUGUGUGUGUGUGUGUGUGUGUGUGUGAGUGUGUGUGUGUGUGUGUGUGUGUGUGUGUGCAGGCCAUGCUGAGGGACAACACACACUUCCGGUACUCACAUUUUCCCUGACCAGCUCGGAGACGGUGCGUGACAACAUGAGGCAGGAGACGGCGCAGCUCAUGAUGUGGAAGAGGGUGUACAUGAUUCGUGUGCUGGUGGACGAUUUGACGGGAGGACAGAAGGCACAGCAGAGUGAGCAGGGAGCCGGUCCACAGCAGCAGCAGAUCUUGGCAGCAGAGAACAUACAUUCUGUCGGCAUUUGUUCUGCAUUUUUUGGCAUCAUUUUGAAGGAGAAGAAGGCGUGGAUGAAAUAAAUGUCUGUUUAAGAAAAACGAACAACUUGAGCCUUGAUUAAGACCUCGGAGGGAGUAACAAUAAGAACUCCAUCACCCAGCAUGCCACUGUAGUGAAGCGCAUGACCAGUAGCCCUGUUUAGAUUGUUGAAUGUAGACAUGUAGCGGGAUGUUUUUAAAGAGAAAGCUGUGGAGUAAACUUUCAGAACUCAGCCUACAUGCCUCGUCUGCAUCUUUUAUAAUUAGACGAGACAACACAUAUAUUUGCAAGGCCAUUUUCAAGAAGGAUAUUUAAAGAGAAACUACAUCUUGUGAGACCAUGUCGACCAACCCCCGGAAGCUCGAAUGUGUGCUACAAAUUGUAAGUUCAGAUAUAUUAUUUCUUUAUUUUUUCACGUUUAAUAUGUUUUUUGCAAUUAAAAUUUUGACAGUACCACAUAAGAUAUGUUUUAAUUGCUGGUGCUGGUUUAUUGAUUUUUAAAUGCGCCAGCAAAUGACCCAUUUUGUACACUGUUGGUGGUGAUUCAAUGCCAAGUAAAUGUGUUUCUGUAAAGUAUUUCUCUGGCAAUGGUCAUAGGUUGACAUAAAAUUUGGUAUUUUGAGAGGUAAUCUUUGGGCACAGGAUGUCACUGAAGGCCUAGGUGGGAAACGCACGGCCCGCCACCGGUUACACCCCUGAAAUAAACAUUGAAAUGUCCCCCAAUUAAGAAUGUCAUUUGUGUCAAAAAACAACGGAAUCCAUCCAUCCAUUUCCUACCGCUUGUCCCUUUCGGGGUUGCUGGGGAUGUUGGAGCCUAUCUCAUCUGCAUUCGGGCGGAAGAGUGUGUACAUCCUGGACAAGUCGCCACCUCGUCGCAGGGCCAACACAGAUUGACAACAUUCACACCCCAGGGCCAAUUUAGUGUUGCCAAUCAGGUGCAUAUCUUUGGUGGUGAGAGGAAGCCGGAGUACCCGGAGGGAACCCACGCAGUCACGGGGAGAACAUGC